GCUUGUCUCAAAGAUUAAGCCAUGCAUGUCUAAGUAUAAACAAAUUUGUACUGUGAAACUGCGAAUGGCUCAUUAAAUCAGUUAUAGUUUAUUUGAUGGUACAUUACUACAUGGAUAACUGUGGUAAUUCUAGAGCUAAUACAUGCGUUAAAAUCCCGACUUACGAAGGGAUGUAUUUAUUAGAUACAAAACCAAUUCGUGGCAACACGAUAUUGGUGAGUCAUAAUAACUUUUCGAAUCGCAUGGCCUUGAGCCGGCGAUGCAUCAUUCAAAUAUCUGCCCUAUCAACUUUGGAUGGUAGGAUAGAGGCCUACCAUGGUUUUAACGGGUAACGGGGAAUAAGGGUUCGAUUCCGGAGAGGGAGCCUGAGAAACGGCUACCACAUCCAAGGAAGGCAGCAGG
rnacentral:rRNA from 1 species